rnacentral:sRNA from 1 species
UUGACAGCUUUGGAAACUGAAGAACUCUGAUUAUCCACAGAACAGGUACAAAUUGGCCAGUGGCAAACAAUCAUUUCAUACUGCUUUGCCAAUGUGCCUCAAAUACCUUUCUUAGGACCUCAUGCGGUAGAAAGGUUUUAAGGCUCCUUCCUCACUCAGUCUUCGGUAAGA